rnacentral:rRNA from 1 species
UAGGGAAUCUUCGGCAAUGGACGAAAGUCUGACCGAGCAACGCCGCGUGAGUGAAGAAGGUUUUCGGAUCGUAAACCUCUGUUGUUAGAGAAGAACAAGGACGUUAGUAACUGAACGUCCCCUGACGGUAUCUAACCAGAAAGCCACGGCUAACUACGUGCCAGCAGCCGCGGUAAUACGUAGGUGGCAAGCGUUGUCCGGAUUUAUUGGGCGUAAAGCGAGCGCAGGCGGUUUCUUAAGUCUGAUGUGAAAGCCCCCGGCUCAACCGGGGAGGGUCAUUGGAAACUGGGAGACUUGAGUACAGAAGAGGAGAGUGGAAUUCCGUGUGUAGCAGUGAAAUGCGUAGAUAUAUGGAGGAACACCAGUGGCGAAGGCGGCUCUCUGGUCUGUAACUGACGCUGAGGCUCGAAAGCGUGGGGAGCAAACAGG